UAGGAAUGCUGCGGAGGUGGGUGGGGGACAGGCAGCGGGAGGCAAAGGGAGGACAUAGGCGCAUUUGGACGAUAGCUGAGAUGGGGGAAGAGGGGUGUCAGUGCAGAGGAGAACGAGCAGAAAAGGAGGAAAUCAUCCGGGACUGACUUCUCCCCUGACUGAGCACGCUUGCCAUCACCCAAAUUGAGCUGCUGACUGUUUAGGGACGGCCAGGAAGAUGGCUUGAAGUGCUCUGCAGCAGCGGUGUUGGCGGCAAUGUGGCAUCUAAGGCACCCGUUCCCCCCUCACCCGCCCUCGCUGGUCAUCGGAGGUCGAUAAUGUGCACUGGGAGUGCGCCGGCUCGCUCACUCCCUGGACGGAGACAACCAUUUAGGCAGUGCUUGGACCUUGCAGCGCAAUCUGAAACAGUGGAAGAUGUAAUUCCUUCUUAAAAGAAAACUAGAAGUUCACGCUCUUGAAAAGCAUUUCACGAGACAAUGUGAGCAUACGCACAUGCACACGAGGUCUAGAAGGAAUACCGACUGAGUUACACAUGUGAAGCGGGUGAUGCAAGGAACACAUGAAACAGCGGUCUCUUCAACUUGCCUUCAUGCACAGGAUGCUGUGCAUGUUGCAAGCAAGGCCAUUGCUUACUGCUUAUGUGCAAUCCUCCAGAUGCUGCACAGCCUCUGCUUGACCAAGAAGCAUUAAACCUUUCCAGAAAUGCAGAGUGUCUGUGAUAAUCCCUUGAGGGAUUUUGACUGAAAAUGCUCCUGCACUGCACUACUGGCACACUUACAUCUUGCCACCAGGAAGAGAAACUUCCAAAGACCUUCCUGAGGUGAGGAAGCGCUAAGAAAGGGCAGCCCUGAUUGGAAUACUGGAUAAUA